ACUUUGUAAUUUUAGUAUCUACCUCUUGUGCUACACCUGGGUGUUAUAACAUCAUAACCACAUCUACGGCCAACUCUAAGAUCACCUUAUUUUGUUUGGCAGUGUUCUGGAAUCAAGUUAUGGCAAUAUUUUAUGUAUAAAAUCUAACAAUUACAUUAAAAAAGUGCUUAUUUUUGACAAAAACUUGUAUUUUCUUAAGGGUUAGAUGGUGUUUCAUUACCCCCUCUGGCUCCCAAGAUACACCCUAC